AGCAGCCGCGGUAAUUCCAGCUCCAAUAGCGUAUAUUAAAGUUGUUGCAGUUAAAAAGCUCGUAGUUGAAUUUCGGGAUCGAUAUAUCGGUCGUGCCUCGGUACGUACUGGUAUUUUCGGUUUCUCCCUUCUGACGAACCUUGAUGUCAUUAAUUUGGUGUCUUGGGGAAUCAGGACUGUUACUUUGAAAAAAUUAAAGUGUUUAAAGCAGGCUCACGCUUGAAUACAUUAGCAUGGAAUAAUGAAAUAGGACGUUUGAUUCUAUUUUGUUGGUUUCUAGGAUCGACGUAAUGAUUAAUAGGGAUAGUUGGGGGCAUUAGUAUUCAAUUGUCAGAGGUGAAAUUCUUGGAUUUACUGAAGACUAACUACUGCGAAAGCAUUUGCCAAGGAUGUUUUCAUUAAUCAAGAACGAAAGUUAGGGGAUCGAAGACGAUCAGAUACCGUCGUAGUCUUAACCAUAAACUAUGCCGACUAGGGAUCGGAUGAUGUUAAUUUUUUUAAUGACUCAUUCGGCGCCUUA
rnacentral:rRNA from 1 species